GGUAGCUGACAAAAACAAAGACACCACGUACUCAUCACCAGGGCUCAAGGUGAACAGCAAUUUGGAGCGUGUGCUGCUGUGAGACAAAGUGAAAAGCAAAGACAUCCAGUGACAUCCGACCCCACCUACCAUCCGGGGGUUCAGCGCUCCUCAACACCCUCAUGCAGAGCAUCUGCACCAGCCUCAUGCAGUCCGUCUGGGUCUGCGCCCAAACUUUCUAAAUAAAUUGUGUUAAUCUCAUAUUCUUGCAGUGACAGUGAAGCGGAUAAAGUAGAGUACUAAAACAAAUAAAAGCUAAUUUUAAUGGAUUUUUUCUCUCCUAUUUUUUUGGUUUAGUUUUUUGCUACGACAUUUCCCAUCAUUCUUUGGGUGAUAUUAACAGGCAGUGUAUAUAAUGUUGCCAUGGAGUCAGUUAGCUGCAGGCUACACAUAAUCCAUGUUUUCAGACAACAAAUUAUGCUGCAUUAGCUAAUAGCAACACUUGUUUGCACAGACAACAAUCACCUGGAUAAUAUUUAUACUG